AUUGAAACACUGGUUCUCAUAUGAUCACUGAAGUUAAGCAAUGUCAAGUCUGGUCAGUACCUAGAUGGGUGAACACUUUGGAAUACCAGGUACUGUAAG